AACUCUUUCACUACACGACGGUUUCCCGACUCUUUCCUGUGGUUGAUUUCAAGCUUCAUAGCAUUGUGGUCUGAAAGUAUGCAUGGUAUGAUUUCAAUUCUUGUAUACUUAUGAACGGCUGUUUUGUGACCCCGUAUGUGAUCGAUCUUGGAGAAUGUUCCAUGUGCACUCAAGAAGAAAGUAUAUUCUGUUGCUUUGGGAUGCAGAGUUCUAAAUAUAACUGUCAAGUCCAUCUGAUCCAAUGUAUCA